CUGGCGGACGGUAGCACUGGAAGACUAAACGUCAGCGAAUGGGGAUUUAUAACGCAAGGAAAUGAAAACGUAAAAGCAAAUAGUUUUUAAAAUAUACAUUCAAAUCCAAUGUGCUGGAUGUCUUUCUGAAGCAUCCUCCAGGGAAAUAAAGUGAAUUUUGAGAAUCUGAGAUUGAGAAUAGAAUCAGCACCUUUGUGUAUGGUUUUGUAGUUCAGCGACCCAUUUGGUAACAGAAUACCGUUGCCUGAAAUACCCCGUAAAAAUAUAAAGCCGCGGAGGAGCGUGAAGUGAAGGAAAUUUUCGGUGUCUACCCCGCAGCCCUAGAGAAGGCCUCAUGUGUUACACAAAAUUUUGGACAUAAUUACUACACCAUCUUUCAAACGGGACCAGUCCAGAACUUGCACUGAUGGCCUCAGCCCUCAUGCUCCCAGGCCAGAAGCCCCCGGGACCAUCCCAGGCACCACAGCAGAAUCCACCUUGGGCCCACUGGGCUCCAGCAGAGAUCCAGCACCUGCUCGUCACCAUGGAGAAACCUGCCAUCAAGAGGUGCCUGAAGACAGUUCACCACAACACUGCAGCCUAUGAUGGUGUGGCCAAAUGCCUUCAGGAGCAGGGAUGUGUCUGACAUGCAUACCAGUGUUGAACCAAGUUCAAGACCCACAAUGUGGCCUGUAAGAAUGUCCGCAUGGUCAUCCUGCACUCUAAAAAAAGCUUCUGCCAAGGGCUGCCCCUUCUACAGAGCAGGUCAUGGGUGGCAGCAGCCCAGACCACCUGAGGGAGCAGACCCAGCCGUGUGUGGAUGAGCAGAAGGUUACUCUCCCCAGCAGAAGCAGCAGUAGGAGGCACCAGAACCAGAGAUGGAGAUGGAGACAGAGUAUCAUUUUAAGCUGGAAGUGGAAGCAUUAGAGCUGUCCAGUGACCUCAUUCCUGAAAGCCCAGCUGGUACCCAAGUCGACAAGACAAUUGAGAUGGACAUUAGCCAGGGAGUCCAAGGACCUGGGACAGGUAAGUGGCCAAAUGUGCCCUACCAAAGCCUUGAUGCCAUGGAAUUGGGUGGAGAAGGAAGUCAUAAAUGAUAAAACCAAGAUCAGGACCCCUCAAAAUUCCUGAAAAUGUAAAAAAGCAUGGUUUCAUUACAGAUUUUAGAGUCAGCAUAUGUAAGCUGGAAGGGACAGCUGGAAAUUGUCUUCAACCUUUGCAUUUUGCACCUAAGGAAACUAAUCCAGAGGAAAGUAAUUUGAAGAAGGUAACACUGCCAGUUAAUGCUAAGACUGACACUAGAACCCAAGCCCAGUGAUCCUUCCACUGGCUUAUACUGGCUCUUGCCUGAAAUAUAGUUGAUAACUGGCCCUCAUGGUAAAUUUUUCCAGUCUUAAUUCUGGGGCCUGGAAAGAAUAGGAUCAGAAGAGCAGCUAGAAUUUGCUCUUUCUUCUCCAACAAAAGUCCAGAGGAGGCCAGAAUCUC